rnacentral:rRNA from 1 species
GCUCAGGACGAACGCUGGCGGCGUGCCUAAUACAUGCAAGUCGAGCGCGGGAAGCAAGCGGAUCCCCUUCGGGGGUGACGCUUGUGGAACGAGCGGCGGACGGGUGAGUAACACGUGGGCAACCUGCCUGUAAGACUGGGAUAACCCCGGGAAACCGGGGCUAAUACCGGAUAACACCGGACUCCACAUGGAGUCGGGUUGAAAGAUGGCUUCUGGCUAUCACUUACAGAUGGGCCCGCGGCGCAUUAGCUAGUUGGUGAGGUAACGGCUCACCAAGGCGACGAUGCGUAGCCGACCUGAGAGGGUGAUCGGCCACACUGGGACUGAGACACGGCCCAGACUCCUACGGGAGGCAGCAGUAGGGAAUCUUCCGCAAUGGACGAAAGUCUGACGGAGCAACGCCGCGUGAACGAUGAAGGUCUUCGGAUCGUAAAGUUCUGUUGUCAGGGAAGAACAAGUGCCGUGCGAAUAGAGCGGCACCUUGACGGUACCUGACGAGGAAGCCCCGGCUAACUACGUGCCAGCAGCCGCGGUAAUACGUAGGGGGCAAGCGUUGUCCGGAAUUAUUGGGCGUAAAGCGCGCGCAGGCGGUUCCUUAAGUCUGAUGUGAAAGCCCACGGCUCAACCGUGGAGGGUCAUUGGAAACUGGGGAACUUGAGUACAGAAGAGGAGAGUGGAAUUCCACGUGUAGCGGUGAAAUGCGUAGAUAUGUGGAGGAACACCAGUGGCGAAGGC